CCAGGAUCCGACCACAUCCAUUGAUGCUACCUUGGCAGGGCCUGCAGUUUUCAGAACCAACAUGGAUGCGGCAGGGCAGCUGUUUUCUUUUUGCGGCUCAUCUCCGCCGACAGCCAGACCGUGGCCCCACGUCGCGUGCAGAGGAGGAGCCGCACUAGUAGUACUGCCGAUACAUCAGCUUCUCCCGUUCUCCGGCCAGGUGUCCACCACAUCUGUUGGGAAGCUCCUCUGCAGUUUCAGGAAGUGACAAGGCAAGAUGCACUGUUGCUGUUCAAAGACACUGGAGGCUUGGCUGUAAUUUGGAAUUGUACAAGAGCGCCGCGGGCUUGGCUGUAAUUUGGAGUUGUACAAGGUCACUGGAGGUUUGGCUGUAAUUUGGCUAUCAAGUACUUGUUAUCUUUAAGAUCUUUUGAUAAGAGUGCAUAAAAGUAUGCGGAAAGGCUGCUGUUGUUGAAGCCAUGGUGGUGAGUUCAGUGCGCCGCAACCGCGGUGGUGGUGUUAUCUCGGUUUCGGUUACAAUUCUCUCAGGAUACACCACUUGAAGGAAUCUAGAAGACCUGGAGCGGUGGCCUUCUUCUUCGACUCCAUGUUGUGUCUAGGUAGAUUCUGGUAAGUGCUAAGUGUUACGCCUUGUGCAUAGUAACCAUUGAUAAAGUGUAUUUGGUUUUUCAUAGUAGCUUAAUUGUACUCGUUUCUUUUCUAAUAUGCAAUCUUUUUCUAAUAUGUGAGGUGCAUGAGAGUAUGCUCAGUCGACCUAGAUAGCGAGUUAACCGUGCCGCAACUGCGUUGGUGGUGCUAUCACGGAUGUGCCUGAAAUUCUGUCAGGGCAAGGAGGAGCACUAAGAACCGGCAAGCUGGAUGGAGCUAUAGUCGGUAGCUGGAGUACACAGGGACAACCAAGACAUGCUGUUGAAGACAAUGGGCAGACGCGCGGCAAUUGGCAUCAGCUGCAGUAUGGGCUGGUUGCUCAUGCAUGCUCCAGAUGAUGCUGCGAGUUUGUUGUAGUAAGAAUAGAUAGCAGCGUGGUGGUUUCCUGGGAGUUGCAUCAACCGUAGUUGUAAUCGUGUGUUGCUUGAUGUACCAGGCGCGCGGGAGUUAAUUGUGCCCCAGAUUAGAUGAGCAUUAGUUUGUCUCUGGUUAUUCUGAUCCUCGCUGUGGAAGUCAGGAAAAUAUGAACUGGUGAAUUAAGAUUGAGUGAGUUGAUUAAUUAAUCAGAUUGUUCAAGUAGUGGUAGCACAAGAUGUAUUUGUUGGAGAUAAAGCUGCAAAUCCUGUUGCUAUAUACUACAUGUGUCCCUUGAAAGUUUUUGUAGAUUUUUGGAUGUAUCCCGCAAGGUAGAUAGAUAGUGUGUACAUACAUUUAAAUUUAGACAAACCGAAGCCAAGUUUGAUUGGAUGGAGGGAGUAUUAUUUCGAGUGAAAAUCCAAUUGGUUUUACACGUGACAGUGCAGUUGGUGAGUAAGAU